rnacentral:rRNA from 1 species
GGUGAACGCUGGCGGCAUGCCUAACACAUGCAAGUCGAGCGAACAAACGGGGAGAGCUCGCCUCUUACGUUGGCGACUGACGGGCGGGUAAGACGUAGAUAGCCCUCCUCUUAUACUUGGGUAACUACGUGAAACCGCAUCUAAUACUAGAUCAUAGAUCGUACGGCAUGAUUCCAGGGUUAUACAGGGUUUUCCUGACACUAUUAGAUGGAUCCGGGUCGCAUUAGCUAGUGGGUAAGGGCACGCCUUACCAAGGCUACGAUCCGGAGCCGACAGGAGAGGAUGAUCAGCCACACUGGAACUGAGACACGGUGCAGACUCCUACGGGAGGCAGCAGUGGGGAAUAUUGGACAAUGGGCGAAAGCCUGAUCGAGCAACACCGCGUGGGUGAUGAAGGGCUUCGGAUGGUAAAACGCUGUUAUUGGGGAAGAACAGCAGAGUAUUAAUCCACCCCUGUAUUGACGGUACCUAAACAGUAAGCACCGGCUAACUGCGUG